rnacentral:rRNA from 1 species
GAACGGCAGCACGGGGGCAACCCUGGGUGGCGAGUGGCGAACGGGUGAGUAANNNNNNGGAACGUGUCCUGUAGUGGGGGAUAGCCCGGCGAAAGCCGGAUUAAUACCGCAUACGAUCUACGGAAGAAAGCGGGGGAUCGCAAGACCUCGCGCUAUGGGGGCGGCCGAUGGCAGAUUAGCUAGUUGGUGGGGUAAAGGCCUACCAAGGCGACGAUCUGUAGCUGGUCUGAGAGGACGACCAGCCACACUGGGACUGAGACACGGCCCAGACUCCUACGGGAGGCAGCAGUGGGGAAUUUUGGACAAUGGGGGAAACCCUGAUCCAGCAAUGCCGCGUGUGUGAAGAAGGCCUUCGGGUUGUAAAGCACUUUUGUCCGGAAAGAAAACAUAUGCACUAAUACUGUGUGUGGAUGACGGUACCGGAAGAAUAAGCACCGGCUAACUACGUGCCAGCAGCCGCG